rnacentral:rRNA from 1 species
AUUGAACGCUGGCGGCAUGCCUUACACAUGCAAGUCGAACGGCAGCACGGGAGCAAUCCUGGUGGCGAGUGGCGAACGGGUGAGUAAUAUAUCGGAACGUGCCCAGUCGUGGGGGAUAACGUAGCGAAAGCUACGCUAAUACCGCAUACGAUCUAUGGAUGAAAGCGGGGGAUCGCAAGACCUCGCGCGAUUGGAGCGGCCGAUAUCAGAUUAGGUAGUUGGUGAGGUAAAGGCUCGCCAAGCCGACGAUCUGUAGCUGGUCUGAGAGGACGACCAGCCACACUGGGACUGAGACACGGCCCAGACUCCUACGGGAGGCAGCAGUGGGGAAUUUUGGACAAUGGGCGCAAGCCUGAUCCAGCAAUGCCGCGUGCAGGAUGAAGGCCUUCGGUUGUAAACGUGCUUUUGUUACGGAACGAACGGUGAGCUCUAAUACAGUUGUCUAAUGACGGUACCGUAAGAAUAAG